rnacentral:tRNA from 1 species
GUAGAUCUAGUUAAUAUAUAACAUUAAUUUGUCAAAUUAAAGUAGCUUACGCGACCUAUA